UACGUAGGGGGCAGGCGUUGUCCGGAAUCAUUGGGCGUAAAGAGCGUGUAGGCGGCCCGGUAAGUCCGCUGUGAAAGUCCAGGGCUCAACCCUGGGAUGCCGGUGGAUACUGUCGGGCUCGAGUCCGGAAGAGGAGUGUGGAAUUCCUGGUGUAGCGGUGAAAUGCGCAGAUAUCAGGAGGAACACCAAUGGCGAAGGCAGCACUCUGGGACGUGACUGACGCUGAGACGCGAAAGCGUGGGGAGCAAACAGG
rnacentral:rRNA from 1 species